CGGCGGACGGGUUAGUAACGCGUGGGAAUAUACCCAGAUCUAAGGAAUAGCCACUGGAAACGGUGAGUAAUACCUUAUACGCCCUUCGGGGGAAAGAUUUAUCGGAUUUGGAUUAGCCCGCGUUAGAUUAGAUAGUUGGUGGGGUAAUGGCCUACCAAGUCUACGAUCUAUAGCUGGUUUUAGAGGAUGAUCAGCAACACUGGGACUGAGACACGGCCCAGACUCCUACGGGAGGCAGCAGUGGGGAAUCUUGGACAAUGGGCGCAAGCCUGAUCCAGCCAUGCCGCGUGAGUGAUGAAGGCCUUAGGGUCGUAAAGCUCUUUCGCCAGGGAUGAUAAUGACAGUACCUGGUAAAGAAACCCCGGCUAACUCCGUGCCAGCAGCCGCGGUAAUACGGAGGGGGUUAGCGUUGUUCGGAAUUACUGGGCGUAAAGCGCGCGUAGGCGGGUUGUUAAGUUAGAGGUGAAAUCCCGGGGCUCAACCCCGGAACUGCCUUUAAUACUGGCAACCUAGAGUUCGAGAGAGGUGAGUGGAAUUCCGAGUGUAGAGGUGAAAUUCGUAGAUAUUCGGAGGAACACCAGUGGCGAAGGCGGCUCACUGG
rnacentral:rRNA from 1 species